GAUGAACGCUGGCGGCGUGCCUAAUACAUGCCAGUCGAGCGAACGGACGAGGAGCUUGCUUCUCUGACGUUAGCGGCGGACGGGUGAGUAACACGUGGAUACCCUACCUAUAAGACUGGGAUAACUUCGGGAAACCGGAGCUAAUACCGGAUAAUAUCUUGAACCGCAUGGUUCAAUAGUGAAAGACGGUUUUGCUGUCACUUAUAGAUGGUUCCGCGCUGCAUUAGCUAGUUGGUAAGGUAACGGCUUACCAAGGCAACGAUGCGUAGCCGACCUGAGAGGGUGAUCGGCCACACUGGAACUGAGACACGGUCCAGACUACUACGGGAGGCAGCAGUAGGGAAUCUUCCGCAAUGGGCGAAAGCCUGACGGAGCAACGCCGCGUGAGUGAUGAAGGUCUUCGGAUCGUAAAACUCUGUUAUUAGGGAAGAACAUAUGUGUAAGUAACUGUGCACUUCUUGACGGUACCUAAUCAGAAAGCCACGGCUAACUACGUG
rnacentral:rRNA from 1 species